rnacentral:tRNA from 1 species
GGAUGGCUCAGUCGGUAGAGCAUGAGACUCUUUAAUCCCAGGAUUGUGGGUUUGAGACCUACGUUGGGCA